GCCGUUCGCAAUGCUGUUUUAUUUCGUAUGGCGAGUUUUAAAAUAAAACUGGAACUAAAACAGCACGUCCACAAUGCUGAGUUGCAGUUUUAUUUUUCGAGCACUUAUUUGAAACUCAUUUACAACUGCUCGACAGGUUUGUUUUAAAUUGUGGUUGAUUUAAAACUGGAAUUCAACUUUGUUUUAUUUUCAAACUUGUCAUUCUUGCGUUGUAUGUGUGUGCUGUGACGAUGUUUUUAUUGAUUUCAACUGGCAGGCAGCUCCGUCAACAAUAUGAAAAGUGAAAUGCCGAGAAUGAAUUGCAUUAUUUCUUUGGCAAUUUUGUGCGGGAAGUGAUACCCCGUUGGAACCGGUCGUCAGCAGCAGAUAUCAGAGCACAUAUUUAUCAUAGCAGGUGGCUUCAGAUAACGCUGCACUUGGUCCACUCACCGUGAUCUCUGCGCUUUACCGCUUCCCACGGAUGGGUCUGCAGGAGCCGGAGCUUCCCCCGGCAAAUGACGAUACGGAGGACGACGACCGAUCAAUCCGGAUCGAUGCGGGCAUAUGAAUCACCAUCACACGCCACCCAGCACACCAUCGCCCGGGCUUUCGGUUGGAAAAUGGGCCAAAAUUGCAGUUGAGCGAUUACGGAAAUCAGAAAGGGGCGGUUACGGAUGCCGCCUACUAGGUCGUUUACAUCAGUGUGACGGCAGGAGGAAUCGUCGAAAGGAGGAGUGAAAUGUACGUUUUUACCCACGUUUGGGCUAAUUAAAUUACGCAAACAUUA